rnacentral:rRNA from 1 species
UGUAAGCGUAUACCAAAGUUGUUGCAGUUAAAACGCUCGUAGUCGGAACUUGGCCGUGCCGGAUGUGUGCACGUCGUGUGCGCACUUCGCGGGGAUUGCUUUUGUGGUCUUGCGUAGGAUGAGGCACUUUUAUUAGUGAACGUCCUCACGCAACCACUUUUUACUGUGAGAAAAUCAGAGUGCUCAAAGCAGGCAUUUGCCGUGAAUGUAUUAGCAUGGAAUAAUAGAAUAGGACUUGGUUCUAUUUUGUUGGUUUGUUGGGACUGAGUAAUGAUUAAGAGGGACAGUUGGGGGCAUUUGUAUUUCGGUGCUAGAGGUGAAAUUCUUAGAUUACUGAAAGACAAACUGCUGCGAAAGCGUCUGCCAAGGAUGUUUUCAUUGA